rnacentral:tmRNA from 1 species
ACCCUUCAAUCCGGCGCCACACCACCCUAUAUUCGUCCUGCCGGCUUGCCGGCUAUGGCGAUAAACGGUGCGUGGAAUAAGCGUUGUGGACCCGGGGGCAGUGCCCGGCGCCUCCACCAUGGACCCGGUGAACCCGAGUCGUGGCUAGGGGGGCGAAACAGGAUCGACACGCGUGGUAAAGACCCAUCUUUUGCCCGGCAUGGUUCCGCCGUCAUCGGGCCAAUUCACAAGUGCCAACGACAACGUGGCGCUCGCUGCCGCUGCAUAAGCGGUAAGCGCGGUCCGGGGGGCACCGGGCAACAGAAGCCCCCCAACU